AGUGUAAUCCAGGGAAGGUCAGGGUAGAGGCAUACCACAGCUGGACAAGUAAUAUUUGAGGAGCAUCCUGGAGCGCUCAGUUAAAUUGAAGACUACAGUGAAAUCCCUCUUUUUCUCUGAUACCAGGCUCAAUCUUCCUGGUUCGUAAUCACUGAUUAUGAAGCCUUGCUGCAUCUCAAACUGGACUGAUUUUUGUGCCAAAUGCAUAAAUGAAAUGGGAGCUUUCAAAAGAGUGAAAGAGUAUCAACCACAGAUCAGCAAAACAAAAGAACAAAGAAACAACAACAAAAAAACCCAACAAACAUUACAUUCCCCUUUUCUCUAAAUUGAAACUCCUUUACAAAAGGUACACUGAAGGCCCUUGACAUUUGACCUCCACCCUGUUGGUCAACACUAAAACAUUUAGUUAUUAACCCAAAGCCUGGAGAUUUUUCAGGCCCCAGACUUUUUACUGAGCUGGCAGCACAGAGAUUAAUGAUUUGCACAGGCUCACCCCACGGUGCCUGGCAGCUGGGACACAGCCACCAUGGCCUUUACUUCCGACAGAGAUAAGGCCAGGGCUCUGGAAGACAACGAGAUGGGAGAGAGGGCAGACUCAAAAGGAGGCCAGCAUCCCUAGCUGCAAAUACAAAGGACAACCUAUCAUGAAAGCAAGACUGUGAAUUUAGCAUCCUUUCCAACUUUUCAAUUUUACAUGGUGCUAAAACAGUGACUUAACCUGAAAAAGUUCCAGAAUGGGAGAUGAUAUUUUAUGUUAAACCAUGGCUCAUCCCAAGUUGUAUUCAGCUGAAGUCCCCCAGGAGCAGGAUGAUGGUAUCUUCUAAACUUGGAAUGUGCAUCAAGCACUAAUGAGCCAUAAUAAUACAUAUUUUGCAUAUUUUCCUUGGAUUUAUUUCUUAUGCAUGCCUGUAUACUUUAAAAUAAGAUGCUGAUAUGAAAAAUGAAUCCACAUUGAAGAGUAAAAUUGAUAUAGACUGAGCAACUGGGAAGGAUUCUUUGUCAGUUAGAGCCUGGCUCUGCUUCUCAGCACACAAAGCAAGAAAACCAUCUGUGAAGGGCCUCUGAAACAUGGGAUCUAGCCAAAGAACAGCAGCUGGAGAUCAGGAAAUUGCUUGCCAUGGAAUACAGAGGCAACACUUGAAGACAUAGCUUUAAGUCUCAAAAUGUAAGAUAAAUUUAAGAAAGUGAAGGUCCGGACCAAAAAAAAAAAAAAAAAAAAAAAGCCUAAUUUUGCAGAGAUGGCAGACUAAGGAUAAUGCCACUCUUGAGCAUCUUUUUGCAAAUUUCUACUUGUAUUGGAAGUUCUUCAGCUAGCAAUUUCAAGAAAAAAGAAACCUGUUUAUAUUCAUCAUCUUCAGUAAUUUGUAAAAGGACCUACUUUCACCUGGACCUUGAAUGUUGCCUUAGUUACAGAAGAUGGCCAAAAUAAGAGAAUCUAAAAUAAAAUAUAGGUUGGAAAACUUCAGAGGGAAGCUGAUUUAUUUCUUUUUAAAUAGUGUCUAUGUCUCUUAAAUAAGAAAGAAUAACACAGCACUCACAGUAGAGACCAGUCUGACUGUUAGGUCUGGAAUAGGACACAGAAAUAUUUAUUUUGUCCUGUACAAGACUUCUGGUGAUUGGGGAUUAAGAGAUAAAUUCUAUCCAAAUACACUGUAGAAGUUAAUACCCUCCCCACGUUCCUUGCCACAGCCUACCAUCAUCACAAGAGUCAGGAGAAACUGUUAGUAACAGAGAAUCUGAGCUAAGACAAUACACAUGUUGUCUCCUGCUAAUAUUGCUGGGAGGCAGCAAUCUCUUGAGAAAGAAUACAGAUCUGGGUUUUAAAACCUAAGCUACAAUAACAAGAGCUGCCAGUGGUUGUAAAUAGCAGCAAGUAAACAUAGUGAUUCAAGAGUCAUUCUGUACUAGUAAAUGAGUAUUAAAUACAUUAAAUACACUGUAUUAUAUGAAUAACUGUAUGUUAGUCUAAAUAUAUGGCAUUAAUUUAACAAAGGAUUAGUUCCCACGAGUAGAAAAGAAUGCAACACCUUCAGAUAACUACCUAUCUAGCAACACUUGAGAGGCAAUACAAGGAUUGACCUCUUGUUGAACUCACCAGCCCACGUCAAAGAGGAAAGUCAUAGAGAAAAUGGGAAGAACAAAGGAUCUGAAACUGUUUUAAAACUCUAAAAGCACUUACUCUUCAGAAAUUGCACUCAGAUAAAUAAGAUGCCUUAUUUUUUAUAAAGAAAUCAAAAUUCCUAGGUUCCAAGAAAAGGGGGAAAGACACAAGUAAAAUAAUUAUCAACAUAGUUAUUUCAUCUGUUAUAAGCUACACUUUGUGGACUGUGGUCCCGCUAUUAAACAGUACUUUGAAAAGCCCUCCUGAUCACCAUUUUUGUCACUGGUCACAAAGCAGCAGGAGUUUGAACUGAUCCAGGGAUUUCACAAAACAAAUUGUCAUGGGAAUUACAAGUGGAAUUGCAUUCCGCUUCAGAAUCGGAGAUAGCUCAGACCUGAUCCCUACUGAGGUGUGAUCAAAAAAGCAACACAAGAAAAUAUAUCCCUGUAGUCAAAAUGACAAGUCAAUAAAUACUGUUUUGAUAGUGCAUUCUUGUUAGUACUACAACAGUUAAAAUUGCUUGUCAGAACAUCCUGCACUACACAUGGUAACAUUCCUCAUGUUUGCUUUAACCUGAAGACUAGGGCUGGUCAUGGUCUUCAUACUAGAGUUAUCAUUGUUCUGUGUAUUCUGGGAGAUACAUAGAGUAUCACAUUUUUCCAUAAUGUACUUGGUACGUUGCUCUUUGAAAAUCAUCUAGAAAGCAUAAAACUAUUCCUGUGUUCUCAAGCAAAUGUAUCACUCCAGCAAUAGUAAAUAACACAACACAUAGCUCAGGGAAUUCAAUUUCAAUUGGAUUCAAUCUCCUAAUUAUUUUGCAUAAUUUCUUGAUGUGAAACUUCAAUACAAGUAGUCAGGGACCUUAAAAUCUUUGUAGUAAAUAGCAGGGUUAUAAGUCUCAUGUGGUUAUUUCUAGUGUUCUUAGAAAGAAAGAAAGAAAGAAAGAAAGAAAGAAAGAAAGAAAGAAAGAAAGAAAGAAAGAAAGAAAGAAAGAAAGAAAGAAAGAAAGAAAGAAAGAAAGAAAGAAAGAAAGAAACAUCACCAUGACAGGCGAGCUAAAGUAUUUGACAUAGCAUUAUAUCUGACCAAAAUCCAACCACAUUUCUAGCUACUGAUCAAGAAGAAAUUCUAUUCUCCUCUGCUUCACAGACAUAUAAUAUUUAUAAUAUAAUGAUAUAUAAUAGUCAUCAUCUAUUUUAGAUUGUUUUUAUAUGGGUAACAGAUAUUAGAAUGCAGCCACUACUUCAAUUCAAACUAAGUCAUGGUAUCUCUGCCUGCGGUAAAAUGCAACAUGCUUUAGGGUGCCAGGAGAGGAAUACCUAAAUUGAACAUUAGAUAUAACAGACUUUCAUAUCAUGUAAUUAAAAAUAUACUGUCAUUGUUUUUGGAGACGUUCUCCUGUUGGAUGCCUUUGUUUUAGAGUAUUUCUGGUAACUAACACACUGUGACAGACCAUGGAAACUAGGCCAAAAUUUUUAAAAAAAUUCUCAUCCAGAGGCUUGGUGUUUAAAGUGGCUAGGCUUGACAACAAAAAGACUCCUUACCAGACUGCAGAUAAACAAGAGCAGACUUAGAAAUGCUUUUUUCUUUUCUCUCAUCCAGCAGUGAUCUAACUCCCAGCACUCAGUGCACAGUAGAAACUCACUUUCUCCUUUCCCAGGAGAGACUUUGUUUUUUCUCUUUGUUCAACACAUGAAAAAAAAUAAAAAAUCAGGAAGAAAUUUCUUUUAGUUCUAUUUCAGCUGUGGUUGGUCCAGUAGGAAAAUUAACCAACACGCUUGUAAAAGCUGUAAAAACUCCCCUGAUCAACAUAGGGAAGUUAGGCUGUAGUCAUGCCUAUACCUAGCAUCAUUUCUGCUUAUCCAACGAGAGCUUAAUGCAAGAGGCAGUAGAAUGCAACAGGAAACAGAUUGCCUGUUUUCUAUAAGAAUUUUCCUCCUGCUAGGACAGCACAUGAAGCCAUGCCCUGGGCCUAGAGUUUGUGUUCUUCUGCUGUGCUGCAGCCCCCUGAGCCACUAUGUAACCUCAGUGUAAGUCACCAUUGUCCUUUUGCUUUUUUCAAGUGUAGUGAAUUUGGACAAUCAGAUACUCCUGACAAUACCCAGAACUCCUUCUUCUUCAAUCGUAACCUGAUCUGAGAAGUAUCAGAACAGUCUGGGAGUUCUGGAAGUGUAUGGUUGGGAGAAAAUUCCAGAAUUGCCUCACCUGAAAUAUGGCUAAAAUGCAAAGUUUUCUGACUAAAGUAAAUUAUCUCAAGGUCAAAUAAGGGUCCUAAGAAAAGAGCCCCUUACACUCUCAAAGCCCACAGUAGUCUAUGAUGUCUCCUUGAGCUGGGAUACAUCUGAGGGUAGGCUUUUUUUUGAGGCGCCUUUUGAAGUAGAAGAGUCCUUUAUAGGAUAAUAUCCCAUCAUCCACUGAGGGCCAAUGACGAGGGGGGAGAGUAGUUCACCAAAUGGGAGAAGUUCCUUGCAUGCAUGACUAAGUUUAGAAAUCUCCCCUUAGAAUAUCUUGUGUGUUAAGUUUCAGGUGAACCUUGCUAUUCUUAAAACUUUAAGUCACUGUAUUUGAUUGUAGUAAGCUCCAUUGAAUCAUUCUGUUAAAAUAGCUAUUGAUUGAGUUCUGAUUAAGUGCUACUAAGAAUCAUGCAAUUCUAACCCUGUGUCAUGGUUUUAUGAUUUUUGAUUACUGGUAUUCCACAUCAUAACAUCACAUAGUGCACUGGGAGUUAAAGAGUUAAUGUUCCAGUUCCAGGUGCCUGUCUGGAAGAGAAGAACUACAUACCCCAGGGGGCUUUGCAGUCAGAGAGGAGAUAUAACCUCUGGCAAGGUCACCUGAUGGCCCUUUUUUUUCCUUAGUCUCUCCUCCCUGUUGCUCAUCCUGACCGCGCACAUCACCUCAGCACAACUGUAAGGCCUACAGCUUUCAGAUACUCUCUCAUUAUAUUUGAUUUAUUUGCUUCAGUUCUAAUUAUAUUGUAUUAUAGUGUGUUAUCUUGCAUUCCAAUACCUUAUUUAGAAAAUUAGCUUGUUUCUUCUCAGAUCACUCAGAUCGUUGCUGCUGUUUUCAAUUAUUUUGGGGUCCCCUGUUUCCCUUUCCUGAAGGCAUGGAUUUUGCAAAAUCCCUCCACCCCACUAGUCACAGAACCGGGCUGAACCAGCCUGUAAACUGUUGACACCCUGUGAUAUACUGUAAAAGUAUUAAUAAACCCAAAAUCACUGCUAAAACUAGAAUUAUGUUCAAUCAAUCCACCACACCUGGAAAGCCAAAAUAUACAUACAUUUUAAAUUAAAUCCUUUGAGAAUGAAGAAAGAAUUGAACCUGGCUUUCAUUAUAUAAGAUACAGAUGAGUACAGUAGAAUUAUUCUAUUACAUUGCUUUGUGAAGAACCCAGAUGGAGAGGCGUAUACUCAUUAUUCUCUGAGAACACCAGUAGAUAGGCAUGGACUAUAGACAUGGAUAUGCUUUUCUCCUGGACCCCAGGUACCAAUAUUUCUUACCUGAAAAGAACCAAUGCUAUUCAGGAAACUUUUCAGUGAAACUGAGAUUGUGUGAUGAAGAGAUUGAAAGGUUUGGUCCAGGUUAGCAAUAGGGCACAAAUCCCUGUCACUCUUUGCCAUUCAUUGUAAGAGGAUGUUGAUCCAGCCAUGAACUGAAUGUCGAUCCAUUCUUGAAUAAGAGUGGGAAAAUUUUAAUAAACCACAGUUCAUUAAAAAUACUGACUCUCAUUACUAUGUUGGUGCUAUAAAGGUAUUAUCAAAUGAAAUAGUAACAAGAAACAUUAUUUCUCAUCAGAAUCAUUAGACUACAGAUUCUCUAGGCUUAGAUCAUAGAAUCAUAGGAUGAUUUGAGUUGAAAGAGACCUUAAAGACCAUCUUGUUUCAACCUUCUGCAAUGGCAAGGGACACCUUCCAGUAUAUCAGGUUACCCAAAGCCCCAUCCAGCCUAACCUUGAACACUCCCAGGGUUAAGGCAUUCACAGCCUCUGUAUGCAAACUGUUCCAGUGCCUCACCACCCUCAUAUUGAAGAAUUUCUUUCCAAUGUCUAAUCUAAAACUACUCUCCCUAGAUUAAAAGCUAUUCCCUCUUGUCCUAUCACUUAAUGCCUUUGUAAAGAGUUCUCUCUGGCUUUCUUGUAGUCCCCUGUUUUAGAUACUGGAAUGUCAUUAUCAGGUCUCCCCCAAGCCUUUUUUUCUCCAGGAUGAACAGCCCCAGCUCUCACCCUGUCUAGAUUUGAAUCCAAACCAUGUUACUAAGUCCCUGCCUAGAGGAGAACAGAUUUAGAUUUUUUUUCCCCAGGAAAUUAAAAAGAUUAACAGAGUUUCAGUCAUAAAUCUAGCCUCAUACUUGGUAACAGAACUAUAGGAUAUGUUUAAAGUGUUCAGAUUCAGAAAACUUAACAUACUCUUAAGCAAACUCCCAUCUUUAAAAAUAGAGUAAAUCUUUAACUGAUAUCUUCAUAAAUCUCACAUGUUCAUAUUUGUGUUUUUAUUUGGGAUUGAAAACACUGAUGAAACCAUAUAGAGCUCUAACUGAAAAUUACCACUUACCUUUGGCAGCAGGACUGCAUCUGCAGACUAUGCUGAAAUGCUGAUGUACAUGUCCCUGACUCAUCCCAUUUAAAAAUAAUACUGAGGGUUCUGGCAGAUGUCUUGUAGCAGCUUCCAGUGGUUAUUACAAUAUAAAGAAAAAGAAACAUUUUACAUCCCAGAUUCAUGAAUCCUUCUGAGGCAUGAUGUUUUAAAGCUGGGCUGGUGGACCUGAAGUCAUGAUGAUCAGCAAAGUACAGGAACUGAGAGUCUGUGUUGAAGAAAGCCAUUGGAUCAAGACUUUCAGAGAUUGAACUGUCUUCGUAUUUAAAAAAGUGUCCACCUUAAAGCCAAGAUUAAGGUCUCGGGCAGGGCCGGAUUCAAAGGAUUCAGUGGAUACAUAUCAUUCUGGGCUGGUUGUGUGUUACAGAUAAAAGUUUAUUUGCCAUGAAGACAGUAGAUUUUUCUGGGCAGAACACACAGCCAGAAAAGAUGAGCAGAUAUUGAAUUUCCUUAUUGGUUUUGUUAGUUAAAAAAGAAAAUUGGAUUGGUUACACCCAUAUGGUAUUUUGCAUAAUGUAUUUAUAAUGUAAUUAUAUUUAUUAAUGAUAUAUGAAUAUUGCUAUUAAGGUUCAUAUUUACAGAUUAAAAAAAAAUCUUCAUUAAGUUAUCUUUCAAAGAAAAUCCCCAUGAAUAAUCUCAAAGUCAAAAAUGUGCUCAUGGAAACAAGUGAGAUAUUAUUUCACCCUUGUAUUUCUUCUCAUCCAUAUAUACACCUUUUUAAACAACAUGUGUCAUGUCUGCACUCAGCAGUGACGCGGAAACCAGAGGCUAAAAGCUCUGGAAUAAGAAACAGCCUGUGUUAGCAAAUAGCCCUGAAACUAGUACAAAGGGAGAGUGCUCCCAAAUGCAAACUUCUGCAUCAGAAUUGUGUGCUGCACCAUUAAUGGCCCUGAUCAGCAUUAACUGUGGCUCUGCUCUAAGGUGUAAACCUCAAAUGGCAAGGCAAACAAUGCCCUGAAGACUUCAUAACACUGAGAGGUCAACUGGUCAGCACAGCAAUAAAGGACACAUAGUAAGUUACAAAUACAGAGCAGUGAAACGUGACUGUGUUUCUUUUCGUCAGUCCUUUCCUUUACCAGAGGCAUCUAAAGGUAAUGCAAAAGCAAUUGAAAACAAAAUAAUCAAGAGAUCACUCUGGCAAUCUUGAGGUAAGAUCACUGUUUCCAAUUAUUUUCCUCACAGUAAAACUGGGACAAGGAGAGAGGGUUUGCAUAGGCUUUAUUUACCAGACCUGCUGUUCAAUACAGUCCUGGUGGAAGGAAUUAUUGCUAGCAGAGCAUAUCACAGCCACCCAGCUAAGUACACCUAUGCUGCAAGUUCAGUACAUACCAAAUCAAGGACUGAAGAAGAGCCAAGCUACCUUUUCUGAUGAGCUGUAUUUUAUGCUCCUCAACUGCAAUCUACUAGCUCCACAGUCCAAAUUCCAGUAUGUACCAACAUUAUCUGCCAAGUGCUAGAAAAGUUUAGAACAGCUGAGGAAAAGCUCAAACAGUGAACAGCACUAGGUAUUAGUUACACAAGCCUGAUAUUCCUUCAUUGCUGAGCACCAAAAGAUCCCAGUUGUUGGCAGCCAGAGUUUUUUAUUUCUUUUCAUAGAAAAUGGUUGACAGUAAUUCUACCUACAGCUAAGCUGCUUCAGGAAUAAGUACCAAAAGGAGAUGAAUGGCACACAGACUUCGAGCUGGAAGCUGAGGUGAGCUAUAUAGAACAGAAAGAAGAUAUUGAAGGUCAUGCUCUAUGGUUAUCAGUACACUUUCUGAAUAGCAACACAGAAAUAGAAAAAAUCAUUUGAAAUCAAGAUUUCUUUAAAACAGGAAAGAGGAACAGUGAGGCACUUUUAUAUCUUGGUAUCACUCUAAUAAAUUCUACUGCAACAUACAAAAAGAAACAUUAAGAUGCAAUUCUACUUUGAAUGUAUGCAUAUAAUUGGCUCAAAUAUUAUCCAUAGUAAAACCAAGAGGAAACACUGACAUUAGUAUGACCAAUAUUUCAUACAGCAUGUGCUAAAUAGGUAACAUACUCACUUGACCAAAUAUGUAUGUGAAUAUUGUAACAUCACAGUGAAUUCUUGCAUAUUAAUCUUAUAUUGUUGAAUCCUUGCAUAUUAAUCUUAUAUUGUUAUCCUUCUAGGUUUUUUGUUUGUUUGUUUGUUUGUUUUUGUGGGUUUUCCUUUUGUGUUUUUGUUAGUUUUCUGUUCUUUUUUUAUUAUUAUUAUUCUUAAGAUCAUGCCAUUUCUCAUUACCAGAAAUUUGAAUACUCUUAUGAUUUUGAUUAAAAUCUUCUUAGAAGAAAUAAAUAGGAUGCAGUAGGCUGAAGAACUAUAGAAACUAGUGUUCAUUAUUUUUCUUGCUUUGUAUUCUGAUAAGGUGAUUGAAUGACCCCAAAGCUGAAAUGCCAUAAUUGGUUGACAAAAAGAGGCAAUAAUUAAGGAGUAUCUACCUCCCAUUUACCCAGGAAGGGGACAAAGAAUAUAUUCUUUUCUCAUAUGCAACAUGUCAAUGUCAUAUAUUUCAAAUAUCAGUUGUAUCUCUUUCAUUAGUAUUUAUACCUUUUUACAGCACUGAAUUCACUAGAAACCUAGAUCCUUUUAUUACCGUACUGCAGCUCUUAAAGUCUUACUUUUAUAUAUGCUCAGGUCCUUCAACAUUAUUAUAUUUCUGUUGCCGUAUUCCUUCCAUCCAGUAGACACAGGUGCAGUGUUUUUAAUCAGUGUUUACCAUUGCAGCACCCGUAAAAAAACCACUAAUUGUGCAUAUAAAAAUAUCUGAUUAAGAAUUACAGAAAACUUGUCUUUUACAAAACGUAAUUUUGUGAGUGAGUGAUUAAAGUGAAGAUAUUAUUAGCUGUGUGAGAAAAUAUUUAUCUUUCUAUUUCAUGUGAGUAUUCUCAUCCUAUUGUAAUUUCCAAAUGAUAUGGCAUAGGACUUCCAUUGCUGCCAUUAAUGAUUUACCUGUUUUAAACUGAAAAACUAUGACUGCUUCAUUUGUUAGAUUACAUAGGUGCAACAUCUGUGGCCAGUCUGUCUGCAUAAAUGAAAUAUAUUUUCUGAUAUUAUGUCAUAUUUUGCCUUCAUAACUGAAGCUGAAUGAAAGACAGAAAACGGCCCCAAUGCCUCCAAGCUUUGGAGCAUACAAACAGAUUGAGAAGGGUAUCAUCUGCACGUGUUACUGCAGCAGCCUUCUCUUUGUUUUCAAACUCAACUCGGAUUCAUUCCAAAAUAUCCAAGUCCAAACCUAAUUUCUGGCACGACCUGCAGGAUCAAAUAUGUCUCCUUGGCAUUCACUUGCUAUGAGAAAGCCUCAAAAGGACAAUGAAUGACAGCCAAACUGAUUAUCAGUUUCAGUGAGUGAAGGUCAGCAAGUGUAACAUCUGCCUUGCUGGUGCUUGCCUACAUAUUCAUGUGCAACUUUCUGCUCAUCCAGAGGUCACAAAAACUCACAGAAUGAACAAGAUCCCAGAGGAUACCUCUGUUUCCUUAGACACAGUGACAGAUUUUUCUCUUACAUUUGGGUAAGGGAAUUUUUGGUAAAUAUGACUGACAGAAGUAGCUGCAUGGGUCAAAAUCACCCCUUGGAUAUUUUUAAAAUUUGAUUAUACAAAGAUCAGGAAGAGAAGAAUGGCCAACAAGGCACAGGAAUAUUUAUUCUAUCCUUUACAGUAUAUGCUGACUCAUUAAGCUAAGGAAAAAGUGCUGAUAUUUUCACAGAACCUUUCCCAUUGAACAAAAACAAACAAAUGAAAAAAAAAUGCUGUCUCAUCAUGUAAUGUAAAUUAAUAUAACUCUGAUUAACUUUGAGUAUCUGUCCAUCAGUCUAUAUAAAAUCACAUCUUCAGAAUGUCAGCCAUGCAGUUGAGUGAGUAAUGUCCAAAAUAAAUCUGAAAUGCUAUUGAAAGUGCACUGUUUCUUCUCCCACGAUAUAGGGGAGUGAUCUUGUCAUACCAUGAACAACUUUAAAAAAUGCUCAUGAAGUGCAAAUUAUUUUUUUAAUCAAAUAUUACACUAUUUGGAUGAGUCCAGUGCUAAAUUUUAAAUCCUGAAAGGAUAACUAAGGGUUCAGAGAUAACAACCUCUACAGAGGUCAGAUUCAUUGCUCUGGAAAUCUGGAACCUUGGGAGUUGUAGGAAUAAAAUCAUAGAAAGAAGGAAAGAAGGAAGGAAGGAAGGAAGGAAGGAAGGAAGGAAGGAAGGAAGGAAGGAAGGAAGGAAGGAAGGAAGGAAGGAAGGAAGGAAGGAAGGAAGGAAGGAAGGAAGGAAGGAAGGAAGGAACAACAGAAUUAGAUAUUUUUGCACCUGACACCCAUUAGAUUUAUGUUUUGAUCAUUUUAGUUUCAAAAAAUAUUUUUUUGUUUGUUUGUUUGGAACAACAUUCUGGAAGUUAUCUAAAGAAUACUCCCUUUCAUAAACCAAAUAGAAAUAACUCAGUGCAUCUGCCUCCAAGUAACCUCAAGUAAAUCAGUUGUCAUGAUACAGGAAACCAGAUGUGAAUUCCAACAUCGUAGCAGUGGAGCUGAAGUGGCUGAGGUGGAACUGCUCUCUAAUGGGUACAUUUUCCAUCAUACAGUUGCAAAACCGUUGCAUACUUGCACAGACUCCUCAGCACCCUAACAGUGACAAAUAUCACCAAGAAAGGUGACCAUUGCAAAGAGCAAAAAAGACUACGGGUUUCUCACUACAUGUAUUCUAACAGUCUUCAUCUUCCUAGAUCUAUUGUUCUCAUUUUUGUUUUUGUUUUCCCAUGUUUUCUCAGUAUUUAUACUAAACAACAAAACUAAGAAAAAAUGUUGAUCAUCAACACAGGAUAUAAAUGUUUAAGACUCUUGAUGUUUAUUCUACAAGCACUGAGACUAAGUCACACUUGUUAACUAAAAUUGAAUGUUUAACAGCUAGAAAAACUUCAUAUUUCAAUUUGACAUUUUAAGUGAAACACAGAAGUACAUGUAAGUGCAAUUAGAGUGUUAUAAAAAAAAAAAAAAAACACCUGUGAAAGGCAGAAACAAAAGAAGGCAUUAGUGUGUAAAGUAAUUCUAGUAGGUAGGUUGGAAAAAUUAGUUUCAUAGCAAUGACUUAAUUCAACAUGUGCCUGAGGCAACAGCAAAAAAGGUUAAAUUUCCUUUCUCAAUCAAAUUUUAUAUUCUUGCAGAAGAUGUUAUUUCAUAUUCUUGUGUUAUAUUAAUUAAACACAACAGAACCAGGAGAUAUCAAGACCCGCUAUUAGUACAAGCUGGGGAAUGUAUGGAUGGAGUACAGCCCCUCCGAAAAAGACUUGGGAGUACUGGUGAAAGGGAAACCAGACAUAAGCUAGCAACUUGCUCUUGAAGCCCGGUAUGCCAACUGUAUGCUGGGCUGCAUCAAAAGAAAUGUGGCCAGCAGGUCAAGGGAGGUCAUCCUGCCCCUCUGCUCUACACUGGUGAGACCUCACCUGGAGCUCUGAAUCUAGAUGUGGAGUCCUCAGUACAAGAGAGACACAGAUCUGUUGGAGCAGGUCCAGAGAAGGAUCACAAAAAUAAUCCAAGGGAUGGAACACCCCCACUAUGAGGAUAGGCUGAGAGAGCUGGGACCGUUCAGCCUGGAGAAGAGAAGGCUCCAGGGAGACCUGAUAGCAGCCUUUCAGUACCUAAACGAGAAUUAUAAGAAAGGAGACAGACUAUUUAGCAAGGACUGUUGUGGUAGGACAAGGGGAAAUAGUUUCAAAGUAAAAGAGGGAAGAUUUAAUUUGGACAUAAGGAAGAAAUUUUUUACAAUAAGGUUGGUGAGGCACUGGCACAGGUUGCCUAGAGAGGCAGUGGAUGCCCUUUUCCUGGAGACAUCCAAGGUUGGGCUGGACAGGGCUCUGAGUAAUCUGAUCAAGUUGUAGGUGUCCCUGUUCAUUGCAGGGGAGUUGGACUGGGUGGCCUUUUAUUGUCCCUUCCAGCUCAAAUGGUUCCGUGAUUCUAUGAUUCUACGAGACACCAGCACAAGGUUAUAUCUCCAUCUGCUGUAGACAGACCACGAAACUCAUUGCAAGAGAUAUUCAUUCCAUAAAAUCAGAGUAUGCAAAACAGAAUUUCUUUUCUUUCUUACCUCAGAUAAUUUCACUCAUAUACUGUACAUCUUCCAAAUGCUCUGAUUUAAACUAUGAACUUAAUACAUUAAACACAGGUGUAGCUCUCCAUUCACAAUGUCCUUGCCACCAUCUGUGUUUUAAGAAAAUUUUAAUUCCAGGCGAAAACAUUUUUGUUCUUCAUUCACAGUAAAUUACUGUAUGAAUAGCAUGAGGGGUGUAUUCCUUUAACCCUUAUCCUUCAAAUAAAUUGAGUAGUUUUUAUUAAUUAUUAAAUACUAUUUGUUAUUAAUGAACAUUCUCUUGUCAUUGUCCUGGACUACACAGUGUUUAUUAGAGGAAAAAAAACCAAACAAAAAAGAAGAACAAAAAAACCAAAACCAAAAACAAACCAACAACCGUCCCCCUCCCCCCCCCCCCCCCCAAAAAAAAAAAAACCUACCAUGAUUAACAUGGAUUUAUUUAUUAGGAUAAAUGGAUUUGUUUAUUAGGAUAAAUUCUAAUUAGACCUUAGAUGGCGUGUUCCACUGUUGUAACUGCAUAUAUAAACACAGCAUAAGAGAAAGACAUGUAACAUAAAUAAACUGAAGAAAACAAUUGCCAAGGAAAUUACCAAGUCUCAUUUGAGCACGCUUUUUGUUCUUAUCUAGCCAGAGCCUUGUUCACAUGCUUAACCUGAAACAUUUCAGAGGAACUAGAGAGGUAAAUGGAAAUACACACUUACAUGCUAACAACUCAUGACAGAUGUAGGAUAUGAUGCGAGACUGUGUCUUUGUAUCAGAGGAAUGUAUGUUGUGUCCUCUUCAGAUCUGACUGAAAACUAAUUGAUUUAGUUCUCAGGUUCAUUUCACUGAAUAACAUUUUCAGAAAUAUUGUCUAAUUUUGAUCUUAAGUUAACGUGAUGUGAUGAAACACUUCUACUUUGAGCUAAAUAAUGUAUAAGAAAAAGUGACUCUAUGCUAAGUUUCCUAUUAAAUCUAGAAGUCUCUAGUUGAGUCAUUUAUGUGCAGUUCGUGAGGUCAAACAAUUUACUUUCUUAUGGUUAAUUAUAACUUUUGAGGGAAACUAAAAGGCCUUCAUAUUGUGUUUCUGCAAAUAAUUACCAUUAAUGUGAUUAAAUUCAUGUUUAAUACUUAUCUAAAUUAGCUCAUUAGCUUGUAUGGAUGUUUGAAAACCUCCAAAGACUGAAAAAUAUUCAGCUUUCAUUACAUUCUUGAUACUGAUCUCUCAGACUGUGGAUAUCAUAUUCAUUACUCUCUGUAUACAUAGUACUAUAUGGAAUAUCACUUGUUUCAUAGCAAUUAUUAUGCAAAUCCCAAGAUCUACUUGCUUGACACUCCCCAGUGACAAUGAAAUCUUGUUUGGCUUAAAUAAUCAUUUGGGAGCCAUUUACACUGUGACUGACUAUUACAGGUUGUAUAUAGUGGGAACUGUAUUUUCUUACAUUAGAAAGUAAUAUGAAAAAGAAAACAUCAACAGAACAAUAUUUCUGUUUCCCUGCGACUAAAAUACUGGUGCCUAGGUCCUUUUUUUCCUGGAGUUUAAGUUACUAGAUUAAAAGAAAAAAAGAAAAAGCAAUGCCAGAUUGGUCUGUAUUACUCUUGUUAAUGCUACCUAUAUUUCUUGUACUGGGAAGCUUUUCAUGGACUGAUUUCAAUUAUGCUACUCAAAGAGGUAAGCACUUCUCAUAAGAAGUACAUAGCUUUGUUCUUGUUAUCAUUCCUCUUCGCUAAAGAAAGUAGAAGAAAACAGUAAAUGAGAAAUCUUUCAAAGUAAUUUAAUUGAUAAAGCAACUUAUGUCUUACAGAAAACAGUAAAUGCAUAUUUAUACAUUGUUAUAUCAUUUAACUUUUUACAAAGAUGCAUAAAUAUAUACCUAUAUAACAUUACAAUGAUUGAAGAGAUGGAAAACAUUUUCUCUCAAUGCAACAACAUAGCUUUUUUAUUAACUAGAACUCUGAAUAAAAUCUGAUUUUUAUAAUCAGUAGGACCAAAAUCUCAGUUGUCUAUGAGAUUCAUCAUUAAUCCUGAUUUCUUUGGAGCAGUUAGAAUUUUAUUUUAUGUUCAGCUUUUGUAACUCCAUUUCCUGGAAUACUGAGUACUAUUAAAAAAAAAAAAAAAAAAAGUAAAACCUUAAAAUUAUAAGACUUCCUGGCAUUCAUUGAAACCACAAAUUGAGAUUCAAUUAAGUAAAUUCCUGCUGACAAAGCAUCACAACAGGUUAAUAGAGGAAAGCUUUUUGCUCUUACUUCUCCAUAGUCUCAAGAACAUUAACUCCAUUAAUUGUGCUAGAUUAAAACAUACCUGUAAAAAAUAUUCACCAUUCAGAACUGCUGACAUGUUAGUUUAUUAGAUAAGCCUGCAAACUUUUAGCUACAUAUUGUAUGCUCAUUCUCCUCACUAUUUCUAAGAAACAUUUAUUUCAUAAACAAAUUUACUAACUAGUAGACACAUUCUUAUAGUGAAAAGAAUAGUUAAAUCACUUCCUCUCUGCUACCAUUUGCUUCCAAAUUCCAAAAUAUUUUCUUCAGCAUAGAUAUUGUAGGUUGUAUUUUUAUUUAGUAGUGAAUCAUUUCCGACCUUAAAUAAUUAAAAAAGAAAAACAACAACAAAAAAAAAAACACAUGCACACAAAACAAGCAAACAAAAAAACCCAACCCACAACCAUAGUUAAACAAAACAGAUUCUGUGAUCUGACACUCAUUAUCCUUCCAACCAUUGUAAUUCAAACAUCGUCCAUAUAAACAUAAAAAAAAAUCAACCAGUAUAUUAAUCAUCCAUCUGAAGCAAGCAAUUUGUCUUCCAUAUCUGUAAAUCUCAAAGCCAGGAUUUCUCCCCACUUUUGAUAAACCUCUUUCUGAAGUGGUCAGUAAAACCAAAGGUGUGUCGCCAGCACUUGACCUAAUUGAGUGGCUCCCCUCUGGCAAUCAGGAACACUCUCUUCUGCUGCUUUGAAAUGCCUCAAUUUAGAUGCAGGGGUUACUUCACGUGUUAGUGGAAUUCAUAGAACCAUAGAAUCACUCUCCACACAAUCCACAGGUUGGAAAAGACAUUAAAGACAAAUCCAACUAUGACCACCCCAUUCUACUCUAACAAACCUCUGCAAAAUCAUGUCUCUGAGCACCACAUCCAAAGAGUUUUUAAACACAUACAGGGAUGGUGACUCUACCACUUCCCUGGGGAGCCUAUUCCAAUGCUUAACAAGCCUUUCUGUAAAGUUUUUCCUAAUAUCCAGCCUAAACUUAUCCUAGUGCAACUUAAGGCCAUUUCCCCUCAUCCUGUCACCUGUCAACAGUGAGAAGUGGCCAACCCCGCUCUCGCUGUAAACACCUUUCAGAUAUUGGAAGAGAGGAAUUAAGUCUCCCCUCAGCCUCCUCUUCCCCAGACUAAACAGCCCCAGUUCCUUCACUCGCUCCUCAUAGGGCACACAAGAAGAUUUUAAAAAAAAAAAUCAAUUUAGUUGAUUUUUUAUUCACACCAAUAAUUUCUUUUUCCCUCCUUUCAAUAUAUAUUUUUAUAAAAUGUAAAGGCUAGAAUCUUCUGGUACUUCCCUGAAAAGGAAAAUUUCUAAUCUCAGAAGAAUGUUCCCAAGUAUUAUACCAUUCAUGGGACCCAAGUCUUUCCCUGAGAAUGGAGUCUAUCUGUAUUUUAUUUCGAGGUUUAAUUUUCAUUGUAGGCAGCUAGGCUAUGAUUUUUGCUUCCCCUCUUUUUGCUAUCUGUACAAUCAUGUGUAAAUUAGAAAUACUGCCGAUAUGUUAUUCUUCAAAUAAAUUAUUCCAAGCCAUUCCAUUUGUAUGGUUAUGUAGCCAGGAAAAUGCAUAAAUAAAAGUAAUGUAUUCCAUAAAGUCUAUAAAAUAUAUUGCUCUGACUCAGGGCUGCAGUUAUUUUUGGAUGCAAACAGAAAGACCUGUGUUUCACCCACACAUUGGUCAGGUUUCAUAAUGGCAAGCAAAAGCAUUAUAACACCACAACCCAAGCUCCAGGUGGGAGCCUUCCUCUGCCCUUACCUCCAACCAUAAGGCAUGUGUCCCCUGUGAUUCUCCUGCUGCAGGGGAUCCUGCAGCUCCCUGAGGUUGCCACCUGCUGUGGCUCAACAGGCUACAGACCAGAGUUUCCCACUGUCUCACUCCUUCAGCAUUUUUGCAAGAAGUAGCCUAAUCUUGAUCAUUUCUUGCCUAGAAUCCACUUGUGCCCUCACAUCUAAAUGCACCACACUGGCAAGACUCUGGGAAAGCAGAUUAUACGUUUAUUAGUGCAACACAAUUGAGGUUUCUGCUUCCUAGCCCUGUUUUUAAUCCAGCCCCAAAUCUUACUUCUCAAUCUAGAUCUCCCCAUCAUCUUCUAUGGACAAGGAUCAGGUACAGAAAUAAGCAUCUCACGCAGCUUUUCUACUAGAAAAGGCUAACAAAGUUGCCUAAAGGCUGGAAAAACAAUCACGUACAGUCAUAUCAGCUAUUUUUUAUUAAUCUACCAUAGCAAUUUUUAAAGAGUAAUAUUUGACUUCUUCUUGGCUGAGGUAUGUAUGUGGGUCACUCCAAAAGUAAUGCCUCCCAUGGAAAUUACAGUAGAUACAAAGAGCACAAUAACGCUAUUUGAUAAAGCAAAUUCUCAGAUACAAAAUGCUCCUUUUCAAUAUAGUUGCCACCAUUAUCUGCACAUUUUUGCCUGUGAUGAACGAGAGCCUGCAUGCUAUGCUCCUAAAUAUCUGCACCAGUGAAAGUGACCCACAGUCACAACCUCACUGUACUCACAUCCAUUGUUUGAUCUCCACAACCAUUCAGCAAGCGUCAAUGAAUGUCAAUGGGUACCAUCUUUUCCUGCUUGGAGGAAUUCAGUGACACACUUUUGUUCUAUAUACACUUCAAAGUCAGAAGCCAUUGUGUCAGACUCUCCCUCUUCUGCCAUCUCUCAUGCAGCAACAAAAUGUAAUGGAAUUCUGGUGGUUCAGUCCCUACUCCUAUACCAUUAACAUCACUUCUUGUGUCAUGAGUCAACAUAAUGAUAUAGAAGGCAUUACUUUCAGAACAACCCUUGUAUAUCAUAGUGACUGGGAGACUUAUUCUUAGUCUGUGUGAGGGGAUAAGAUUGACCAUCAUAUAUAUAUGAGGAAAUGUCAUAUAUGGCAUACGGAUUGAGCAUGUCAUGGAGACAGUGACAUGUACUAGAGAUGCUCAGUGUCUGCUGUGAAAUGCCAUGGAACUACAUGGAAACAUAGCUCAAAAUUACAUAUGAGAAACACAAAAUCUUUUAAUUCAUUUUAGAAAAUGACAUCUACACAAAAAUGUGUGCUUAUUUGAAAUGAUAUCUUUUUCUACAUUGUAUAACUGAAAUAUUUUGAAUACA
ensembl:lncRNA